CUGGAGAUCAGACGUGUGCUCUUCCCAUGACUGAAACUGUUUUCCCAUCAUCCUUUGUUCUCAGCACUCUUUGUACCCUUUAAGAGAUCCAUCUUUUUCUUUGGAAACCCCAGUCUUUCAUUUGAAAGACUUUAUUGUAUAAAAACUUCCACAGGUCAAAAAUUUAGAGGAAAACGAGCAUUUGGUCAAAAAAAAAUUUAAAAAACCAAACCCCAAAGAAACAAAAAAAGAAAAAUAACCAAGAUUUUAGGGCUUUUAUUUUUCUUUUGUAAUUGUGUAAAAAAUUGAAAAAAAAACAUAAAAAGCAAAAUUUUAAUAUGAAGACAUUUUUGCUAUAAUCACUAGUUUUAGAGGAAGCAUUGUUAGUUUAGUGUGUUCGCAGAGUCCAUUCCCUCAUCUUUCCUCAAGUGUCUUCUAUUUUUAUCAUGAAUUCCCUUUUAAUCAACUGUAGGUUAUUUAAAGUAAACUCCUACAACUUAAGGG